AAAUGAACUAAAGGUGUUAUUUUAAGUUGCUGUAUGACAUAUACGUUUAAAGAAUUGUUUUGGAAAUGCGUUGUGGAGAAAGCUGAGAGUUAUGAAGUGAAGAAUUAGCUCCUUUGGUAAUAAGCUGCCACUGAGGCUGAUCCUGCUUCUGGAAAUCUUUGGCUCCAUCUGGUGGAAGCCCUUUGAACAGCACAGCUCCGAUCUGCCCGGCUUUCCCUGCUUCCCCUUCCUGCACCUCCUGAACCUUCCUGCUCCCGUCCAACCCAGCCCUGAUCUUCCCUCGUGUCAGCUCCCCGUGUGUCCUGUCAGCGUCUUCGGACAGACCUCUCGACUUUCGGACUCCCCUGCACUCGGCUUGACUACGGUUUUGGUUUUCCCUCUGGCUUUGAUUACUCGGAUCGGACGGAUAUUGGCUGUGACCUUGUUUGUUCUUUGGACUCUGCUUCGGAUCUCCCCAAUACCUCGCCAAACGCUAUGGAUGUACAGAACAGAGUCCUAUUCUACAUUCAUCUCGUGCCUUCCAGAACACAUUCUGCGAAGUCUUUGAUCACCCCGCAGUGGGAUGAAAUCUCGGUGAUCGGCUUCUCGACCUGCGCCAGGGAAAUUGAUCAGCCUCGGAUUUCUCACUGGAAUUCCGCACGGUCGCCGCUGGACUGAGUUGGCUCACCGACUGCGUCCAGACUAUUUACCGUCACGCCCUCUGCCCUGAAUUACGGGUGGAGCUGGCCUGCUGGGGAGCCACGUGAUCCUUCAACGAGUAUGUGAAGCUCUCGAUCACCCUCGAUAAUAUCAUCCGGGAACAACGCCGAUCGUGCCAACCCUCCACCAAGGCCCCGAUAACCACUCCUCCCCGCCUGGAGGAUCCGGAACCGAUGAUGGUAGGAAGAGCACCCCUCUCGGCGGAGGAACAUGAGCGAUGGAUGAGAAAGGGCCUGUGUGUUUACUGCGGGGAGGCAGGUCAUAUCCUCCGCAAUUGCCCCACCAGACCUUCGGAACGUGACCCUGGUGAUGCUCAGAAAGUUCACUCCCGGAGGACUUCUCCACGAUUCCAGAGGAAUAUCAUCACUUUCAAAAGGUCUUCAGUAAAGCAGAGGCCUAUGGUCUCCCCCCACAUCAACCAUCUGACUGAGUUAUCGAACUCCUGGAAGGAACCAUUCUGCCACAAAGCUGACUCUACGCCCUGUCUCGAUCGGAAGAAGAGGCCAUGCGAACCUAUAUAUCCGAGGCACUGGAACAAGCACUCGAGCAACUUUGACGAGCAAAGAUCUUUUCCAAACUCGAUCUGCGGCGUGCCUACAAUCUCAUCCAGAUCCGAGAGGGAGAUGAGUGGAAGACAUCUUUUCUCACAACUACUGGUCAGUACGAAUAUCUUGUUAUGCCGUACGGUUUGGCUAACAGUCCGUCUAUCUUCCAGGCAUUCAUCAACAGCAUCUUCCAAGACAUGUUAAACAGAUUUGUUAUCACCUACAUCAACGACAUCUUAAUUUAUUCAGAGAACUUCACUCAACACGUCACACACGUUCAACAGGUUCUACAGCAUUUGGCCAGUCACCACCUUUACAUCAAGGGAGAAAAGUGUGAGUUCCACUAUACGUCUAUUCAGUUUUUAGGUUAUCAGAUCCAAUCAGGAGAAGUGGCUAUGGACCCAGGUAAGGUCAGAGCUGUCCUCGAGUGGCCACAACCUAAUAGCAUUAAUGAAGCGACGAUAGAAAUUGGCGAAUCCAAGAAAUCUCUGAAGCUCUUUAAGGGCUUUAGUGUGGUAGCCGCCCCCCCGACUAACCUACUUAGAGGGGGACUGAAAAAACUUGUCUGGUCCAAGGCAGCUUCGCACGCCUUCACCGAAUUAAAGGAAAGAUUCUGCACUGCUCCGGUGUUACGACAGCCCGAUCCAGAGGAACCCUUCAUUUUCGAAGUAGAUGCCUCCGAAGUCGGAAUCGGAGCCGUGCUCUCGCAGAAGGACAUGCAAUCAGGUAAAAUUCACCCCUGUGCAUUCCUUUCCCAGAAACUGUCCCCCGCUGAGUGUAAUCAUGACAUGGGAAACCGCGAAUUAUUAGCCAUAAAAGAGGCCAUGGAGGAGUGGAGACAUUGGCUAGAGGGGGCUAAACACCCCUUACAGGUGCUCAUGGACCAUCGCAACCUGCAAUAUCUGCAGUCCGCUAAGCGUCUCAACCCCCUUCAGGCCAGAUGGGCUCUGUUUUUUACCCGGUUUGACUUCCAGGUUUCCUACAUUCCCGGAUCUAAGAAUGUGAAGGCAGAUGCCCUCUCCCGCUGAUUUCCUCAUCACCAGAUGUCCAAGGAUCCGACCCCAAUUCUGCCUCCCACCUGCUUCGUCUGCCCGAUCCAGUGGGAUUUGGAACGUCAGCUCCACCUGCACAACGAAAGGCCCGCCCCACCUUCCCACCGGGUCGCACGUAUGUACUGUCUCAGCUGAGAAAUUCAAUCCUUCAAUGGGUCCACACCUCACUGAGUUCGGGACAUCCCAGGGUAGAAGCCACAAACCGUCUCUUAGCAAGAUGCUAUUGGUGGCCUGGCUGGAGACGUGAAACUUCCCUCCUCAUCUUAACCUGCCCUGUAUGUGCUCAAAAUAAAUCACCUAAUCAACCCCCAUUGGGAUUGCUUCACCCACUACCGGUUCCUUCACGACCUUGGUCCCACUUAGCAGUAGAUUUCAUUAUGGAUCUUCCCCCUUCUCGGGGAAAUACUACCAUCCUAACCGUGGUUGACCAUUUUCUCAAAAAUGUGUCGUCUCAUUCCCCUACCCAAGUGCCAUCUUCCCUAGAACUUGGGGAGCAACUCCUCCAGUGGGUUUUCCGUUACUCCGGCAUUCCCGAAGACAUUGUGUCAGAUCACAGACCCCAAUUCACCUCCCGAGCAUUCUGAGCUCUGUGUGCUAAACUGAAAAUCCGGGUAAGUCUCACCACGGCUUAUCAUCCCCAGUUAACGGAUAAGCCGAGGGAAUGAACCAGGAAGUCAGGAAAAUGCUACGUACCCUCUGUUCCACCCAGCCCCACGACUGGUCUCGAUACCUGUCAUGGGCAGAAUAUGCCUGGAAUUCCUUAGUGAAUCCCCUUACGGGUCUCACUCCUUUUCAGUGUGUGCUGGGUCACCAACCUCCUCUGUUCCCCUGGACUUCCACCAAGGUCCCCGCCGUGGAACAGUGGCAUCAACGAUGCAAACAGGUAUAGAAUACUGUACAUCGACAACUGUCUAAGGGAGCCGCCUGGAUGAAAGCGCAAGCAGACCGACGACGACUUUCAGCACCGGUGUUCAAUCCAGGGGACCGAGUCUGGCUAUCUACACGGCAGCUCUGACUGCCCCAAGGUCGUAAGCUCAGCCCAAAGUACAUUGGUCCGUUUAAGGUGUCUGCCCGGGUUGGUCCCAUUACUUACUGCCUACUUCUCCCCAGGUUGUAUCGUAUUCACCCCGUUUUCCAUGUCUCUCUCCUCAAGCCGGUUCGCUACAGCCUCGCUCAUUCCCCCACAGAUGCUCGUGAGCCACCUCCGCCGAUCCCUCUAACUGACGCCGAAGCCUUCGCCGUGAAAUCCCUGCUUGAUUCCCGCUGCCGGAGAGGGGGUUUACAGUAUCUCGUCGAUUGGGAGAGGUAUGGCCCUGAAGAAUGUUGUUGGGUUCCUGCUUCUGAUAUACUUGAUCCUUCUCUGAUCGCACAGUUUCAUGUGGACCACCCCUCCCGACCGGGACCUCAACCCCGUGGCAGACCUAGGCGCAAUAUUCGACUGCCAGUAGUUGGUCAUCAGAGGGGGGGUUCUGUCACGCCGGCAGCUCCAAUCCGCCUGGCUUUCCUUGCUCCCCCUUCCUGCGCCUCCAGAACCUUCCUGCUCCCAUCUGACCCAGCCCUGAUCUUCCCUGUUUGUUCUUUGGACUCUGCUUCGGAUCUCCCCAAUAAAACCUGUUGGAACUUCC